rnacentral:rRNA from 1 species
CAGUAGCCACGGGAAUACGAAGGGGGCUAGCGUUACUCGGAAUUACUGGGCGUAAAGGGCGCGUAGGCGGCACGAUUAGUCAGGCGUGAAAUUCCUGGGCUCAACCUGGGGACUGCGCUUGAUACGGUCGAGCUAGAGGAUGGAAGAGGGUUGUGGAAUUCCCAGUGUAGAGGUGAAAUUCGUAGAUAUUGGGAAGAACACCGGUGGCGAAGGCGGCAACCUGGUCCAUUACUGACGCUGAGGCGCGACAGCGUGGGGAGCAAACAGGAUUAGAUACCCCAGUAGUCCUGUCUCUUAUACA